AUGGCGGACGAUAGAGCCGAGCCGCUUAGGGAUCCGGCGGCUGAACGUUAUCUAAUGGGCAUCAUCAACAACGAGAUUCCUUAUGUGCCGGGCUCAGAAUAUAAGCAAGAAGAGGAUGUAGUCUCUUCUUUUCUGAACCUUGAAGGUGGAACAGAGAUUGUCGAUGAUCAAGAAGGUGAAGGAACGGACAUUGUCGACGGAGGUCAACCGUCAACAAACGACGAUCUCGAAUUGCAAGUAGCAACCACCUCCGGCGAGCCCUCCGGAUCGAGUACGACAAAGCGUGGCAAAUCCAAGGCGAUGAAAACAGGAGAAACAUAUGCCAUUGAGUUUGUCAGUGAAACCGGCAAGCCCCUACAGCACACCUCAAAGUUUAUCAACCAAUGCGGAGUCGUUGUUAGAGACAACGUCCCGAUCACCGUCCAGGAAUGGAAGGAGCCAAAGAAGGCACGUAUUGGUUUCAGUUUUGUCGACAAGAAAACGAAAAAGGAUUGCUGGAGAAAGCUUAUAGAACAUUUCAUUCUACCUCCGGAAUACAACAAAGUCGAUGAAUUCGGUAACGAGGUUCCGGGUGGACGUCAGAGGAGGAGGCUAGUUAAAGAGUUCGCUCUUCAGAAGAUGGGCGAAGCAUUCCGGAACUUCAAGAAAAAUUUAACCCGUGACUAUGUCAACAAGGGCAAGACUCCGGAUUUCAAUGGACAACAUGAGAAACUGAAAGAUGAUUGGCCAGAAUUUGUGAGGCAAAAGCAAUCGGAGCAUUUCAAGGAAAUAUCGAAAAAAAAUAAGGAUAAUGCGAGUAAGAAAAAGUUCCACCAUAUUAUGGGGCCAGGAGGAUACCGCCUUUCGGAGCCUAGGUGGCAGAAGAUGGAGGAGGACCUGAGGGUGCGAGGAAUCCCUCUAGGUACAGAGGGAUGGGACCCAAGGGCCAAAAGCUGGUGGUACGGGCAUGGGGGAUCGCUAGACCCGGAGACAGGGGUGUGUGUUCACCGGCAGAGACAGUUUGCUCCGACCCAAGCCCUUAUCGACGCAAUGACCCAAGCUCAAGAGGGCUUGAUCAAGUUCAACAGAGAGAAAGACGCACUGACAAUAGCCCUCGGGAAUGAUGAACACGGAGGACGUGUACGAGGCAAAGGCAAAGUUCCGUGGAAAGUAGGGUUUUCCCAGGACAAUGACCCGUACUGUUACAGAAGCCGUAAGAGAAAGACGGACCGGGAUGCAGAUCUUAUGACGAAGUUUGCAUCGGAACUCCAUGAGUUGAAGCAGACCGUGCAUGAACUAGUAAAAGAAAAAUCGGCUGCAGGGCCGCAUGAAGAUCAUGAAGCGGAUCGCGGAAGCCAGCAGCGGAGAAGCAGCGUGGCUUCCACGGAUGCCCCGCCUGGUGCUAGUUCACCGAUGAUCGAGAUUCGUGCACCGGAGCCUCACUACCCCGUGGAUGAUGUAAAGGAGAUGAAAGAAUAUGAUCUGCAUUAUCCCGUGGGGAACGUUUCCACGAAGGUAGCUAGCGGCAGUGCUUUACCCUGUACACCUGGAGCACUCCACCACAACAACCCCAUUGCAUAUGGCUAUGCUCGUGUCACGGUGGAAGACAUAGUCCAAGGGUUUGAGGACCUGGAGAUUGACAAACCUACACCCGAAGGGGAGAGAAGACUUGGAGAUGUCAAGCGCCAGUUCAUUCUAUGGAAAAAGAAGUACAUAGUGUUUCCAGGCGAGGUGCCAAGGCUAGCAAGUCCACCCCCCUCCGAUGGUGGCGGUGGUGGCGGUGGUGGUGGUCGUGGUGGUUCACCUACACCUCCUUCACGCCAUUCGACGCCGUCCCCCGAUCCACAAUCUCCGGCGGAUACGACGCCCCCCAAUCCUCCUCCGGCGGGUAUGACGCCCCCCAAUCCACCUCCGGCGAAGAAGCAGAAGCAGGCGGACAGCAAGGAAACCCGCUCCUGGACUAUUAACCCGGACCCUUAUGUACCUAAGACCACAAGGGUACCGGAGCCAUCACUGAAGCCUCUCCUCCCAAGGCCUGGGGAACUUAGUGAAGCUGAAACCAAAUUGGCCGCGUCUGCUGAUUAUGAGAAAUGGAAGGCGGAUAUGAAGGCGAUAAAAGAGCCUGAGCCCAAGCAAGUAUUCACUGAGAAGCAAAAGAAGUGGGCUAAGGAUUUUUUGACGACACCGUCCCAAGCCGAGCUGAAUAUGCCUGACGACUAUGGACAUGAACUUCGUAGGCAAGCAAAAAUAUUGAAGGAGGAGAAAGAAGAAAGUAAAAAAAGCGGGAAACAAGUUGACCAGCUCGGGAUGCAGAAGAAACAAUCGAUCCCCCCGCUCAUAGUGAAAGCCGGUCCGGAAGAGGACCCCGAGAUCAUAGCAGCUGUGGCAGCACUUGGAUUGACUGUAGCGAGUGCCAUGAAACAAGCGUCCGAGAUGGGUUUGACUCUUCGUGCCUUCUUAGGCCUUGAGGAUGCGCCAGUAUGUGAGAUAGCAUUACAAUAUGUGCGGAAUGGGCCUCUCGUCGAUCCUGCGCGGGAGAAGAGUCUACCGCCACAAAUGCGAAAUCUGCUACGUUGGUACAAGCAAUUCAUAACAUGGGCCGACAAAGAAUAUAUUUAUGCGGAUGUUACAGAGGAGCAUCACACCAAACGGUACUCUGUACAAGUUCAUAUGAGUGAAUUGUUCCAGCUGUUCAAUCUGCGCGACCUCGACAAAUCUAUGCUGAGUUGCUACGUUCUAUUGAAGAUUUGGGAAUGCAAAAUAAGAAACAUCCAUGAUGUUGGGUUCAUUGACCCACAUAUCGUUAAUGGACAUGUGUUACAAUAUCACCCCGAAGACGUGGAGAAAGACUUGUACAAGUUUCUUAGAAAGCAUCAACUCAAAAGUCAUAUUCUAUUUCCUUACCAUUUUGGGUUUCACUGGAUUCUGCUAAAUAUUGAACUUCACACCUCCAGAGUUCUAAUCAUGGACUCUAUGGAUUCGGAUCCAAAGCGUUGGGCCGAUAUGAGAAAAAUGCUGCAAAAGGUUUGGAGACGGUUCUCAGAAGAAAUUGUCGGUGAAUUCAAACAUGAGCUAGAUUUCAGAAGGUUAGUUAAUGUGGAUAAGCAGCCACCGGGGACCAAUCUAUGUGGAUACUAUGUUUGUGAGAACAUCCGGAGACUAACCUCUGAGCGGAAGGCAUUGGAUAGCGUGCGGAACGCGACGGAUAACUUGCGGAGGAGGCUUAGUCCAGAAGCUCGCUUCCGACCAAUUCAAGAUGAAUUAGCAGGAUUUUUCUUGAGGGAAGUCAUCAAUCCUAAAGGAGAACACUAUACCGAGGACGCAGACAUUUAUAUGCAUACCCGAGAUUGA
rnacentral:rRNA from 1 species